ACAAUGCAAGAACAAUUGUUGAAUCUGUAUCUGUUGUUAAAUUAGAUUGUUUUAGGUUUUAUUGCUAGGAUUUAAGGUCUAUUACACGGAUUUACCCCUGGUAAAUUGGAUUUUCGGAAGUGAAAAACCCAAUUUCUAAUUUUUCAAAGUUUAAGUCCAAUUAUUUCUUGGUAGUUUCGGUUUUUUGUGUGGACGAGAAGGACGAGAUUUUGCUAUUUUCGAAGAUGUCAAAUUGCAAUUUAGAGCAAAAGAGUUUUUUUUUUUCAUCAAUUAAGUUUGUGUCAUGAAAUUAAACUUUGUUAUGAUAUUCUGAUUGCCAAGUAUUUGAUGUUGAAGAGUAGAAACUGCUGAAACUCUCGAAAUCGCAAACACUUUAGCUCUGGCAGCUUAAGCGAUAUUUCGAAGCUUGAUUCUUUCUUACUAAAACCACAGUUAUAGGAUGAUAUUGCAAUAGGGAAUCGAUUUUGGUAAAACUAAUUUUGAUAUUAAGGGAGCAGAUACAUUGUAGCUAGUCGUGAUUUGAGCUUUUUUUUUUUUUCUCUGACAAUAUCAGAAAUAGCUUUGGCAGUAUCAAUUUCCAUUGCAAUAUUUUUUAAUUGCUUGACUUGUUUAAUGUUACGUGCUUAAGGUUUAUAGUGCCUGCCCAAAUUUAUGGCAGCACCUACUACCAUGUAUGUUACAUAUUAUCUAGUAAAGAAUAAACUAAGAUGCAAAUUGAUGAUAGAGUUUUAGCCAUCUCUUAGAGAAGAUUUGUUGAAUAGGGUGAGGGAUUUAUAGAAUUAUUUGGUUGAAAUGUUAGAGGGUUAUCAGCUUGGAAUUAGUAAUCAGAAGUGUGUUAAGAUAAGUUUAUGAAGGGCCAGAAAAGAGAUUGUACUAACAAAGGGUUUGGAUUUGACUUAAUAAGACAUGCUGAAAUCUUCGGAGCACAAGUAAAUUCUCUUCUGCCCACUUAUAUUAGGUAUACUAACACUGCUAUCUACUACAAUACCAGAAUGUAAGGAGGAGUCCACUUGCUCGACACAUCUGACGAACCAAGAAAUUAGGCACUAAUUAGCAUCAAAAGAUCAUGGCAAAGCACCACCCAGACCUCAUCAUGUGCCGAAAGCAGCCUGGCAUCGCCAUUGGCCGCCUGUGCGAGAAGUGCGAUGGAAAAUGCGUGAUCUGCGAUUCUUAUGUGCGGCCUUGCACGCUCGUACGCGUAUGUGACGAGUGUAAUUACGGCUCUUUCCAGGGCCGUUGUGUAAUUUGUGGUGGGGUUGGGAUCUCUGACGCCUACUACUGCAAAGAGUGCACGCAGCAGGAGAAGGAUCGGGACGGGUGCCCUAAGAUUGUCAACCUGGGGAGCGCGAAGACCGACCUCUUCUACGAGAGGAAGAAAUAUGGCUUCAAGAAGAGAUGAUCUUUUAAUAUUUGAUUUAAUAUGUUUAGUGCGAGUUUUUCCUAAUUGAGCAACAAAAGAAGAGAAGAGAAAAAAAGGAGAAUCUGUGUGUCAGCAUGCCGUCAUCCAAUUGCCGUAAUAUACAGAGAUGACACAAGUUAUUUAGGAGGAAGGUAAAAAUCAUUCAAAUAUCAUUAUUGCAAUUUAAGUGGACAGGAUAUCUUAGCAAAUAACAUGAUAAUUACAUCUGCAUAUCAUCCAUCUGUGGCUGUGACUCACAAUGUAAUGGUCGUUCGAGUUUUUUCUUUGGUACGUCUUGGACUUAUGUUAAAAACUAGCUACUUUGAGCUCAAAAUGUUGAUAUAAGAAAUCUAAAGAUUCAUGUACAAUUUUCUGACAGUAGGGCAAUACUUCUGGUUCUUCGAAAUCUCUGCUUCUCUUUCUGUGCAAAUAUAGAUGACUACGGAGAGCAGAAACAAGAACAAGACUAAAGUGCCAUUAAAUAUAGGAUUCUCAUACCGCUAUUACAUGCUCUCUCCCCUGCAUAGCAUUGUUUGCGCCUAUGGAGGGGCUCUCUCGAUGAAUACAGAAACUUGUGUACCUACACUACAUUAGCAUUGAUCAUAUAUUCUAAUAAAGUUUUUAACAACACAUCAUGUGACCUCAAAGGUAUAAUCAAUGAGCUAUACUAUGGCAGUAAAUCCAGCUACAAUGCCAUUACUCAGAACACUCUUGGUGGAGAACCUGCUACUGAGAAUGCUUCAAUGAAAGUAUCAGUCUACUGAGCAUAUCACAAACAGGUCAAAGAAGAGUGCGACUUUCGCACUGAGGCCAUUUACAUGCUUUGUUACUCCAGUUCUGUGUCCAAUUUGUUGUCUACUGUGUUGAUACACAAAAAGAGAAGUUGCAAUGCACCAGUAAAAGUUCUAUAGUACUAUCCUGGUACAAUUUGUUCUCAAUGUGGACUUACUAUGGUGGCAGGAGCACAAUGGCAUCAAAAGAAGUGGAAUAUGCUUGCAAGUUGCCAUUUGAAUGUUUUCUCCUAUUUUUGUAAGAUUAUCCUAUUUCACUAUGCAUUGAGCACUUUGUUUCUAAGAGCUUCAUGCAACUGUGUAUUUAUGUAGCAAAAUCUGAUACUUAAGCAUAGUGAUAUGCCAAAGGUAACCAGUGUGCAUGUUUCCUCUCUAA